CCUACGGGUGGCAGCAGUGGGGGAUAUUGCACAAUGGGGGAAACCCUGAUGCAGCGACGCCGCGUGGGCGAAGAAGUAUUUCGGUAUGUAAAGCCCUAUCAGCAGGGAAGAAGAACUGACGGUACCUGAGUCAGAAGCACCGGCUAAAUACGUGCCAGCAGGCGCGGUAAUACGUAUGGUGCAAGCGUUAUCCGGAUUUACUGGGUGUAAAGGGAGCGCAGGCGGCACGGCAAGCCUGAUGUGAAAGCCCGCGGCCCAACCGCGGGACUGCGUUGGGAACUACCGGGCUGGAGUGCAGGAGAGGUAGGCGGAAUUCGUAGUGUAGCGGUGAAAUGCGUAGAUAUUAGGCGGAACACCAGUGGCGAAGGCAGCCUACUGGACGGUGACUGACGCUGAGGCUCGAAAGCGUGGGGAGCGAACAGGAUUAGAUACCCCAGUAGUC
rnacentral:rRNA from 1 species